UUAACGCAAACGCUAACCGUAAACCGCCUUGAGCACCUAUAUAACCCAUUCUUUCUACACUCAUGCCUUGAUCUCCUUCCUCUGUUCCACGCAUUCUUCAACCGACUCUCUCUAUCUCUCUCUCUCUCUCUCUCUGGGUUUGAAAUUUGAAUUGAUAUUCUAAUUCAUUCAUCCAUGGCUUCUCGAUACAGUGGGACUCCUGUUUCCUUUUUCAUUUACUCUUCUCCUUCUCCUUCUCAAGAAGAAGAACAAUUUGGGAGUCCGAAGAGUCCUGUUAGUGUUAUUCCCGUUUCGUUUUUCUCAUCUCGAGAACAACAAAUUCAAAUUGGGACUCCAUUUACUCCUCACAAUGCUCCUAAAAUCAUGAACCCUAAUUUUUCCAUCUCUCCAAUCUCUUCUGCUGAUCGGUUCCGGUUUCGGGUGCCGUACACAACUGAUGAUGCUGUAGUGCUUCAGAAUCUAAUCCACAUCGUUCACUCCGUUAUCAACAGAGAUAAGAUGAAAUCAAAUUCAUCAUCCCUAACAACUGCUCAGAGGCUCUUCAACUCACUUGAUCUUGUUCAGAAAAAGGUCACGCAGCAAUUGGAGAGAAUUAAGGAAACCCCCACUUUUCAGAUGGGGUUCAGAGAUAAGAAAAUUCGAAUUUUGAUGUCUAUGCGCUGAUUCUUAUUCUUAUUACAACACACCCACGCUACUACACUACACCAACCCAUACCAUAAAUCACUUACCAAAAUGGGAUUUAAAAAAAAAAAAAAAAUAGACCAUCAAAUAUUAAUUUCAAAUAUGCAUCACUUGGUCCUCAAAUAAUACAAAUUUGUUGUUGAUAGGAAUGUGUAACUGUAAGGAUUAGAUUCUUUUUGAUUUACAUAAUGAAACAUAACUAACAUUUUGAAUAAUGGGUUCUUGUAAAAUUGCAAUAACACACAUCAUUCAAUUUAAUAUUGACCCCAUUUAUCAUGUGAGAUGAAGCAAGUAUUGUAUUAGUGUCUAAUUCUGCAUCUCAUGUCCCAUUUAAGGAUUUGAGUAUUGGAAGGAGAAGUAAUUUUGAGGGUUCUGCAUAUGCUUAAUUUAUCAUCUUAUGAAGGUAUCCAUUUGUCAGAGCCAGAUUAAGAAUAGUAGUUCUGACAUUCAAUUGUGCAUCUAUAGCAGCAUUAAGGAGAAAUGAGUACAUGGUUUGGUUUUUAUUUUCAAAAAUUUCUUAAAUUUUAGAAAUUGUGUGUGUGUGUGUGUGUAGGUUCAGAAAAGCGCUUUGAUCCUACAUUCUAUCCUUGAUUGAAGAAAUGGUGCGAUGAUUAUUUUUAUAUAUCCAGCUGAUCCACCCCUGAGAUUCCAACCCAGCCCAAUAUAUAGGCUGGUUUUGCCCCUUUUGAAUUGAUUGCAUGGAAGAAAGAGGGCAUUUUAAGAUCAAACUGUCAAAGUUCUGGUAAAACCGCCCCUUUUAGUUCACCUGAAGUAACUUGUUGAGAAGCAGUGGAGAAACAAAUUGUCAGCACUCCAAUAUAUAAGCCAAUUCAGAAGCUCAUCAAAUUCAUCAAUAUGUUGUUUUUGCUUGGAUGAAAACAUGUGGGAUGGGGUUAUAGGUAAAUCACAUCCUGUUAGUCAGUUAUUGAACACGUGGAAUUCGUUCGUAGUUUUAUUUUUAUUUUUAAGUUCAGCUUGUUAUCAUACACUUGAAUUUAGAAAGAAUGCCUGCAAAUUCAGACCAUACUUGCCAAGCCAACCUGCCCUUCUUUGCCUGUUAUGAACUUAUGUUGUUUAGGUGUUUAUGUUUUAGGAUGAGUUUUGGGGGCCCAAAGUGAAGGAUUUGCAUCAAAGUUUGGCUCCCCAACCAGCCAUGAAUAAUCAACUCAUUUGUGACUUUACUUUCAUCAUUUCAGUUAUUUAGGAAUAUAAAGUUAGUUUUAUUACCAUGUUUAUUACUGGCUCUGGUUUAGGUUUCCUAAUCCUUUAAGGGGCAGGUUGCACUGGGCAAUUUUGGACAUACCAAUUUUGAAGUGACCCAAACUUAGGACAAUGAUAACUCUAGCUUGGUCUGCCCUUUGAUUUCUGAAUCAAAAUGAUCAGAUAAAUCUUCUUCAGUGUUGAGUGUUGACAUUAUCUUUAUAAUGCCCUCCUCAUAAGCAAACUGAUGUUUAUUGGUUUUAUCUCUUUACUGGUGCAAAUUAGAGAGCAGGCUUGUUUACUCCAGUUUUCUUUGGUGGUUGUAUGUUUUCAUUGGUUGAAUAGGAUAAUAGUGAACUAAUUUCGCUCUAUUUAUCUUACUUGUGAAACUUAUUGAAUAUUUGACAGUUAUGCCUUGUAUUGACUACUAAUGGUAUAUGCAAUACCGAGGUGAGAAGCGGGGGCUUGGGAGAAUUUUUUUCGAUGGAGCAAUUGGAGAGCAUUAAGGAAACCCCGACUUUUCAGGAGGAGAGAAAAAAAUUCAGACUUUGAUGUCUAUUUGCUGAUUACAACACGCACUACACAAAGUACAACUGAGAGAACACAACAGAACAGGGUUUAAAGACUGAUUGACAGACAAGGGAACAAGAAACCUGUGUUUUGAAAAUCAAAAUUUUUUUUUUUUUUUUUGUUAGGACUCUUGAAGUAGAAUUAUAUUCUCUCUGUUUGGUAAGCCUUUUGAACGCUUUGUAUUUUGAAAGAAAUAGUGAUUUCAGAAGUUGUGUUUUGAAAACUUUAAAAAAAAAAUUGCAAUUAAGCCUUUGAUAAAAUCUUUGCAAAAGUUUCUGUGAAAGAAAACACAGUUUUCUGGAAAAUUUUGAAAAAAAAAAAAACAAGGAUCCCAUGAGUUGCUUUUUUCUCUUUUUUUGGUAUUUUUCCCCUCAUAGCCAAGCUGCUAUUUGUUUUUGGGUUUGAAUAUAAAAUUGCUCUUUUUUCUCCACAAAAUGGCAAUGCCAAACAGACCCUUAAAUCUACUUCGGGAGUCCUAAGUGCCUACACCGGCUGGCAUGUUAAUUAAUUGUUACCAUCAUUCACUAAUGGUAUGUGUUGUGUAGGACUAGCUAUCGUUUUGAGAAGCUGAUGUAUAUAAUAAUAUUUUUGGUAAUCAUGAUGUAUAUAAUAUGGUCUUAUGUUAGUUUCUCUCACAUUAUUUUACAA